CCUACGGGGGGCUGCAGUGGGGAAUAUUGGACAAUGGGCGCAAGCCUGAUCCAGCCAUGCCGCGUGUGUGAAGAAGGCCUUCGGGUUGUAAAGCACUUUUGUCCGGAAAGAAAAGCAUUCGGUUAAUAACCGGAUGUUCUGACGGUACCGGAAGAAUAAGCACCGGCUAACUUCGUGCCAGCAGCCGCGGUAAUACGAAGGGUGCAAGCGUUACUCGGAAUUACUGGGCGUAAAGCGUGCGUAGGUGGUUUGUUAAGUCUGAUGUGAAAGCCCUGGGCUCAACCUGGGAACUGCAUUGGAUACUGGCUUACUAGAGUGCGGUAGAGGGGUGUGGAAUUCCCGGUGUAGCAGUGAAAUGCGUAGAUAUCGGGAGGAACAUCUGUGGCGAAGGCGACACCCUGGACCAGCACUGACACUGAGGCACGAAAGCGUGGGGAGCAAACAGGAUUAGAUACCCUGGUAGUC
rnacentral:rRNA from 1 species